AUGGUUUUCAUCGUGUGCCGGAGACGACGGCGACGUCACCUGCGAGUUCCGCGGAACCCCUGACGCCGUCACCAGCUGGACCAUCCGCGGCCCUGGACCAUCCAGCGACGGCCGUGACGCCGUCACCAGCUGGACCAUCCGCGGCACUGGACCAUCCAGCGACGGCCGUGGCGUCGACUCUGCCAGUGCCGGAGAGGUCGGCGACGUCACCUGCGCCGCUGGUGUCAACACCGCAUGGACAUCAGCUGCGAGCUGGUAAACGGCGGUGGAGUGGAAGCAGAGCGCGCAAGCCACCAGCCAGCUGACUCAGAGCCCAGGGGGCGUUCGCCACCAACAUCCGCACGGCGCAGCUGCAGAGGUGAUUUCUGCCAUGGAGCAGCAUCCGCGGCUCCAUGACAUCAUCCUUCCAUCAUUCUCCAUCAUCAUUUCCGGAGCUCACCCGACGGCGGAGCUGGCGACGCCCGCGCCCCGCCUGGCCGUCCAGCCUGCGCGCUCCGCCGCGCGCCGCGGGCCCGGCUCGCCGAGACGUCCGGCUUAGGUCGGCGUUUGAGGCGCGGCGGGGGGCAACGUCUCUGUGCCCUGCUCCGGGUCCCCGCCGCCUGCGGUCUCUUCUGCUGCCGCCACUGAGGGGAACGGCUCUUCUUUGAAGACAUCAUCGGUCGACGGUGAUGCUGGCGGGCCGGUGGCGGCGUGCCCCGUCGGCAGCGCGCCUGGGGAGGACGCUGGUGACGACGAAUCUUCAUCGCCGUCGGCACCGGUCGCGAGCGAGUCGCUGUUUAGUUGGCCUGCUACUGUGCCAAAAAGUGCGACUGUGGCCAGACUGGUAUACGAUUUGUCAGUGCUUACGCCCCUCUUGCCGUGCCGGCCGUGCUCUUUGCCGUCUAUUGGGGAUGCGUUAGAGUUAUCGUUUUGGGGUUUAUACCGGUAUCAAGAUUGAUUUAAAAGAUGGAUUUCAUCACAUUUCUCGCGCACGUUCCACACGUCCUUUUGGUGUUUUGUAUGAUGGUAAAACGUGCUUAUACCCUUUCUCUGUUACCAAUGGGCCCUAUUAGGUACUGCAUCUCCUGCAUUAUUAGGUAGAGAUGCAGUACCAUUAUUAGGUACUGCAUUAUUAGGUACUGAAGGAGAUGCAGUUAGGUACUGCAUCUCCUUCGGAGAUGCAGUACCUAACAGAUGCUUUCAGUGAACUUGUAGAGUCGAGAUUUAACGUCAGGUGUUUGGCGUAUUUAGAUGAUUUUCUUUUCAUGUCCAAGGACGCUGAAUGGUAUCGCUGCGUUUCUGACUAGUGUUGGGUUGUGUAUUAAUUUCAAUAAAUUAGUUCUCGUUCCGUU
rnacentral:lncRNA from 1 species